ACGUAAUGCAUCAUAGCAAGCUAUAUGAACCAGUCUUAGAUUGAGAAACUUAACACACAAUGUAGUUGGUAUAGCAAGUGAUAUGAACCAGUCUUAGAUUGAGAAACUUAACACACAGUGUAAUUGGUAUAGCAAGCGAUAUGAACCAAAGACACUUGAUGUGUGUUAGAGGUUUAUCAAUCACAAUACACCCCCACAAUCCCUGUUGUUAUCGUUGUGUUGCGCUUACUAGGCCAUGCGCGUGCCCAGAAUUCAUGAGUGCUCUAGAGAUCAUUCCAAGAUCUCAUGCAAGU
rnacentral:lncRNA from 1 species